CAAGUCGAACGGAGAUACGCGCUGAAGAUGUAGCUUGCUAUUGAUUCCCGUGUAUCUUAGUGGCGGACGGGUGAGUAACGCGUGAGCAACCUGCCUUUCGGAGGGGGAUAACGUUUGGAAACGAACGCUAAUACCGCAUGACAUUAUUGAGUCGCAUGGCUUGAUAAUCAAAGGAGCAAUCCGCUGAAAGAUGGGCUCGCGUCCGAUUAGGUAGUUGGCGGGGCAACGGCCCACCAAGCCGACGAUCGGUAGCCGGACUGAGAGGUUGAACGGCCACAUUGGGACUGAGACACGGCCCAGACUCCUACGGGAGGCAGCAGUGAGGGAUAUUGGUCAAUGGGGGAAACCCUGAACCAGCAACGCCGCGUGAGGGAAGACGGUUUUCGGAUUGUAAACCUCUGUCCUCUGUGAAGAUGAUGACGGUAGCAGAGGAGGAAGCUCCGGCUAACUACGUGCCAGCAGCCGCGGUAAUACGUAGGGAGCGAGCGUUGUCCGGAUUUACUGGGUGUAAAGGGUGCGUAGGCGGCUAGGCAAGUCAGAAGUGAAAUCCAUGGGCUUAACCCAUGAACUGCUUUUGAAACUGCGUAGCUUGAGCGAAGUAGAGGUAGGCGGAAUUCCCGGUGUAGCGGUGAAAUGCGUAGAGAUCGGGAGGAACACCAGUGGCGAAGGCGGCCUACUGGGCUUUAACUGACGCUGA
rnacentral:rRNA from 1 species